rnacentral:tRNA from 1 species
GCUCCCGUGCCGCAACUGGAAGACGGGCUUGAUUCAAAACCAAGAUGUUGUCGGUUCGAUCCCGACCGGGAGUA